GGAGGGGUGGCCGAGCGGUUUAAGGCACCGGUCUUGAAAACCGGCAGGGAUUAACGUCCCUCGUGAGUUCGAAUCUCACCCCCUCCGCCA
rnacentral:tRNA from 1 species